UUCAACUAACAUCAAAAUCCCAAAAUCAUUAAUUACAAGUAGCUAAAACAUACAUAAAUUUCGAUUUGCAAUCGAUUCAACAAAGACGAUUAAACUAACAUCAAAAUCCCAAAAUCAUUAAUUACAAGUAGUUAAAACAUACACCUGAACAUGUGUCUUUAAAAAGAGGAGAUAUGACAUGGCAUGCGACUACGAUGUGUAGAAUGAAGAGGCUCGUUUAGUGGUGUUAAGAUAUUGAUAUGGUUUUAGGGCUUUAUCCUACGGAUUGAAGUGGCUCCAGUACAGAAAAUCGACGGCCAUUAACCUCUAGAUGUGGGUUUUGAGGGGAAAAAGGAAGGAGAGGAAAUGGAUUGAAGAGAAAAAACUGAAAGUGAUGAAAAUGGUGGAAGGGGAUGAGGUGAACCUAAGCAUAGAACUACUAGAAAAUCAAGUCUUAGCGACAGAAUCAGCGAGGGAAAUAAUACCUAGCUAAUCAGCAAUGGAUUUGCAAGGGAUCAGCGACGGAAAACAACAAGAUAUCUAUUCCGAAAAUUUUAGCAAUUUACCAAGGGAUUAGAGAGGGAUUAGCGAUGGAAACAGCAACGGAAAAAUCCUUCACAGAUCUCUCGUUGAAUUCGGUCGUUAGUUUCGGUUCCCUCUCAUUUGUUUCACUAAUUUUCAGUUCCCUCACAUUUUUUCUUUCCCCCCGACGCCUCCCUCCUAAAUCCAUAUUCUUAACCUAAUUUCAUUUGGUACCCCCAUCCCAAUAUCAACUCCGGCUUCCCCCAACUCUAUUAUCGUCGAUUCCAGCCGCCCUUGUCCCCAUUAUUAUUCAUUCUGACCGCCUCUAGCCCCAUCAUCGCCGAUUCACGACUUUAGGUCAAUGACGUUAACACUUCAAUUUCUUUUAAUUUUGAGGCAUCGAUCUCCACAAUUAGCGUCUUUGUUGGCAAUCGCAUCACCCCAUCAUCAAGACACUCAAGUAUGUGGAAUCCAAAGUAAAGUGUGUCAACUGGAGGUCUAUCAUCGGUGAUGGAGAUAGAAGGAGGAAAAUUGUACAAGAUUUAUGAACAAGAAUGAUUAACUACGAGUUAAAACUUUAGUAAUCCAUGAGAAGAGAAUGAAAUAAGUAUUUCAAGAUUGAUAUACCAAACAUUCAGCUAUAUAUUUAAAUGAAAAUCCGGAAGCAUUUUUCAGGGAGUGCGUGAAGCUGUAGUUAUGUUUCCCCUACCUACAAGCUUGAAAGACAUCAAAGUAGUUUAUCAGUAAGAAAGUAUGGAAGCCAACAACAAGUCUUGUUGAAGCCUAAGAAGGCCAAUAUGAUUUCAGCAAGAAAGUAUGGAAGCCAACAACAAGGCUGCUGAACAACUCAAGUGGAUGUUUAGGAUUAUGAAGAUCUUGUCACAUAAAAGUGUAGGAGGUCCUACGUUAUUGCCUUUGAAAUGAAAGUGUUUUGUUAUACAAUCGCAUCUUCAUCGGACACUAUAUCUUUAAAGCACUUAAUGUGAAAAAAAAACAUAAAUAUAUCCUUAACUAGACCUCUUUAUGAUGUUCAA